rnacentral:rRNA from 1 species
AUUGAACGCUGGCGGCAGGCUUAACACAUGCAAGUCGAGCGGCAGCGGAAAGUAGCUUGCUACUUUGCCGGCGAGCGGCGGACGGGUGAGUAAUGUCUGGGAAACUGCCUGAUGGAGGGGGAUAACUACCGGAAACGGUAGCUAAUACCGCAUAACGUCGCAAGACCAAAGAGGGGGACCUUCGGGCCUCUUGCCAACAGAUGUGCCCAGAUGGGAUUAGCUAGUAGGUGGGGUAACGGCUCACCUAGGCGACGAUCCCUAGCUGGUCUGAGAGGAUGACCAGCCACACUGGAACUGAGACACGGUCCAGACUCCUACGGGAGGCAGCAGUGGGGAAUAUUGCACAAUGGGCGCAAGCCUGAUGCAGCCAUGCCGCGUGUAUGAAGAAGGCCUUCGGGUUGUAAAGUACUUUCAGCGGGGAGGAAGGCGUUGAGGUUAAUAACCUCAGCGAUUGACGUUACCCGCAGAAGAAGCACCGGCUAACUCCGUGCCAGCAGCCGCGGUAA